rnacentral:misc_RNA from 1 species
AAGUCGUAACAAGGUUUCCGUAGGUGAACCUGCGGAAGGAUCAUUAGUGAAUUUUAGGGCGUCUACUUGUAGAGCCUGACCUCCACUCUCUAACACUGUGCAUUUAUUGGCGAAAUUUUUAGUUGAUAAGGAAUUUUCGGAUUUCGGAUCACUAACUUUUUGCGGCUCAUUUUAUAACACCAGUCAAAGUAUGUAACGAAAUAUCGAAACAAAAAAAAACUUUCAACAACGGAUCUCUUGGCUCUC